ensembl:lncRNA
CCCGGGAGAUGACUUAUAUUCAAUACAGUUCUUUAAAUAAAAUCUUAAUAGUACACACCAUACAUAACCAUGAUCCAACUACUACAAGGUUCAAUUUGGGAAAAUUCCCUAGGACUUCAAUAUCAUGAACAGAUGUUGAUUGGGAUAAACAAUUAGCAGAUGCACAAAAUGUGUUGGGGUCACAAAAUGAUUCUGAUCUAAAAAUGGGGUCAUUGGCCAAAAGCUGUUGGGGACCCCACCACUGGUGAGACCAGCUGAUGAGUAACUGGGUUCCUGUACUGGGUGCAGGGUCUGAACUCUAUCAGGGACACCCCACCAGUCAUAGGAGGCCUUCAUGACCAGCAUCUCAGUGUGGACGGAGAUCAGGGCGGAGGUCCAACAUACGCCUCUAUUGUCCUGCCUGAGGGACAGAGGAGCGUGGCUACAGCACAGGAUGAGGACGGUUCCAGCGAUGCAGUGACCUACUCCUCAGUGAGAGCCUCUCCCAGAUGUGGAGAGAAGGCUGGUGGGGACGUACACUACGCCACCGUCAACAAACGGGGAAAAUGACAAAACAUCUGUAGAUGAGUACGGGAUGAAACAGAGCCAGCAGCAACCGGCAGUAGCAAUUAAGGUUGUAUUCAAGUUUAGUAUAUUAAUAGUAAAAAUAAAAUAAAUUGGAUCAAUAAUCUUCUGAAUGAAUUGCUGAACUUUCAUAUGAGAGAAGAUAAGAGGGAAAACCUACAAUUGCUGAAGAAAUUGUACUUCACUUCCAUUACAUGCUUAGAUGUGUGUAUAUUUGUGUGUUUAUCUAUGUGUACAUUAUGUUCCUGUAUGUGUACGUAUGUAUACUUAUGUGUACGUAUGUUUGUGAAUGUAUGAACUAGUUCUAUGGUACCAGCAGUUAAUUUCCGACCACUUUGUGAGCUCAGCUUGUCACGUUUGCAGUGUUGGGGAGUAACGGAAUACAUAUACCGGCGGGGGUCAUGCCUAUGUUCCCCGGGUCCUAUGUUCCCCACUCGGGGAACAUAGGACCCCCCUCUUUUUUUUUAAGUCCUUUGUUUCCCGUUUUUCCCAAAAAGGGUCCAAUGCUCCCCGGUAUCGUAUUGCUACAGGGGAACAUAGGACCCUAAUUGGGAAAAACGGGGAACAUAGGACUUUAAAAAAAAAAAAUGGGUCCCCGAGCGGGGAACAUCGGACCCGGGGAACAUAGGGAUGACCCCGCAACACCUAUGCACUCAGUUCAGUGAAAAAAAUGUUUGAUGUAAUAGCAAAUAUCUUUCGCAUUAACAUACCCUUAUAGUCUUUGUUCCACUACAGCAAAUUAUAUAAAAUAGUACACUUUCAGGGAGACUUGGGCCUAAUACAUUCAGCCAGUUUGAACAGAAGAACACACCAGAAUAGGCCUGUUUAGUAAGCAGGAUUUGAUGCCGCAUUCUUACACUUAUAAAAUGCAGUUCAAUGUGGAAGUAAUCCAAGUGUUCAGAGUACAAUACUCAGAUUGAGUGAUGAAACGGAAUACGUUACAUAUUACAUUUUUGGGCAUGUAUUCUGUGUUCUGUAACUGGAUACAAUUUAAUAGUAAACUUCCCAACACUGCUAGUCUGUUCUUUAAACAGAUGUCCCUUUGAAGGUUGUGUGCAUUGGAAAAUUCAAAAGUAUAAUAUCUUAUUAGCUCAUCAUGUUCAUCAUUUUGAUGUACAAUAUGUGUAUUUUGUGUAAAUAUUGAGGGAGUACAUGCAGUUUAUACACAUUCCUUGGUUUCCAUAUUUUUUUAUUGAACACAUGGGAUUUGUAAUAAAAUGUAACUUGAAUUAUCUUAAGAGCAAUAUGAACUACUGCUUAGAAAAUUCUUAGAACACUAGUACUACAAAUAUAUUUUUUCUUCCUAUUUUUUCGUUUUUUUUUCCGUUUGUGCGAGUAGAUAGAGACCGGUGUAGCACCGGAAGGGGAAGAAGAAGUGUGCGAAAAACAGUACUUGCCUUGCCUGCAGGUUUGCAAGUAGCAAGAGAACAUUUCUUGCCCUGCUCACAGCAGUGCUAGUAAUUACCAUGACGUAGGCAUACCGGUAAUUACCAAUCACCAAAGUUAAUUAAGGUGAAUUAUAAUUUACUUGAAUUUCCCGACUGGAAUCAAUACAGUAGUGUCGCUUGUCUAAUACAAAUGCUUGUAUUUAGAUGGCCUUUAGAGGGCGCCAUAGACUAAACUGAUGGGGACUUGUAAAAAGUAGCUCUAUAAAUGUUCUUAUUAAACACCGACAGCGAGACCUAAUCGAAAGGACAUAAAGCGUUAAAUUCACCGUAUUACGUGUGGUUAAGUGAUGGAUGUGGAUCAAAGAUUAGUUUAACUCAAAGAUUUAGUUAACACGUAGCCUAUUGCUUGGAUAGGCAUGACACCUUAUGUUUUGGAAUUAUGUUAAUAGUAUUGAGUGUAAUUUGGUGAGCUUUAUACUAAAGAUUUCUGCAACAAAAUGCCCCUGUUUGCUUUGAUUUGAGCACCUUUAACAUAGCGUUCUACUUCUGUUCAGUAAUAACGGUUACUUUUCUUCCAAAUGUAUGGACGGACCCUUUCACACGUCAGAUACAAGUUAAUCGUCAACAUAUAUUUCGAUUGAAUACAAACUGCAAAAUAGAUCAUAUGUUUGUGUUCUGUUAGAAUAAAAAUUUCGAAGAAGCAGUCAACAAAUCA